CAGUCGCCGCGGUAAUACAGAGGGUGCAAGCGUUAAUCGGAAUUACUGGGCGUAAAGCGCGCGUAGGUGGUUUGUUAAGUUGGAUGUGAAAUCCCCGGGCUCAACCUGAGAACUGCAUCCAAAACUGGCAAGCUAGAGUAUGGUAGAGGGUGGUGGAAUUUCCUGUGUAGCGGUGAAAUGCGUAGAUAUAGGAAGGAACACCAGUGGCGAAGGCGACCACCUGGACUGAUACUGACACUGAGGUGCAAAAGCGUGGGGAGCAAACAGGAUUAGAUACCCGCGUAGUCCCUGUCUCUUAUAC
rnacentral:rRNA from 1 species